GUGGCAAGGACCUGCUCGGAAAGCACAUCUGAACGCUCCACACCUCAUCGCGGCGUCCCGCUAGUAUGUUGACGAGAAAACUUCUUCACUGGGUCCUGAUCGUCGACAUGUUAUCCAUUUUUGUUACGGCGGGCGAAAUAAGUCGCGAACAACGCUUUCGUAUCCUAAUCGGAGCGAUCCGUAGACACGUCCGAGAAGGAAGAACUCGUCUGAUAGAGAGUCUUCUGGAAGAGCUGUGCCUGAGUUUCCCUGUGCAGUGCCAGAGAGAAGGGUCCGGCAGAUGGGGAGCAGGAGAAAAUCCACGAACAUCCUUUCCAAGAUUUGGCUAAAAAUCCACAGCUUACAAGGACGACGUCAAAGGUUUUCGAUCAGCAGGACGACGACAUAUUAUGUCGAGCCAUUGUUCGCGAUGACGUCACGGAAAGCAACUGGUGACGUCAGCAGACAGAAUUGUGCAAUAUCUACUGUCAUCUAUCAUCUAUCUAGCUAAUGCGAGAGUUGGUGUGUACACAAAGUUGAACCUCCAGUUGUCUAUGCUUCUCCUUACUAGACUAUUAGAUUUUAGGUUUGGAAACAUUUCAUAAAGAAAGUUUUCUACCGGUGGUUGAUAGUAUAGAAUUUUCUAAGAUAGCAAACAGAAUCAUGAGAACAAUAUUAUAUGCUAUUGUUGUUCAAGAGGAGACAAUGACAAUCACUUCUGAAACGAGCGGCACUUUGUAACUUGCUGCGAUUACUUGUAUUUAUUUACGGAUGAUCUGACGUAAUGACAAAGUUACCCCGUAAACGACUGAAUAUAACUUAUUUGCCUUUUAUUGCUUUUAGCUGCAACAGGAUGUCAGAUUAGAAUGACGUUGGCCAAGCCACUUUCGUCAAUCAUGACAUCUAUAUAGUUUUGUAAUAUCAUUUCAUAUCAGUAUAUGUAUUUGAGUGCGUCACAACUGUAUAUCGUAAUGAAAGUCCAUACAAUUAUACACGUACCGCAGUGUUAAUAAUGUUGGACGGUUCAGAUUACUCUUGCAGUGAUCAUGCAUCUUGUCGACGUGUUGCCAGUAUCUGCUGUGCGCUGAGAAGUUCUAUUCUUAGGUCAAGACAAAAGCAGAAAUAAUAAUUAUUUCAAACUUGA